AUUGAACGCUGGCGGCAGGCCCAACACAUGCAAGUCGAACGGUAGCACAGAGAGCUUGCUCUUGGGCGACGAGUGGCGGACGGGUGAGUAAUGUCUGGGAAACUGCCCGAUGGAGGGGGAUAACUACUGGAAACGGUAGCUAAUACCGCAUAACGUCGCAAGACCUAAGUGGGGGACCUUCGGGCCUCACACCAUCGGAUGUGCCCAGAUGGGAUUAGCUAGUUGGUGAGGUAAUGGCUCACCAAGGCGACGAUCCCUAGCUGGUCUGAGAGGAUGACCAGCCACACUGGAACUGAGACACGGUCCAGACUCCUACGGGAGGCAGCAGUGGGGAAUAUUGCACAAUGGGCGCAAGCCUGAUGCAGCCAUGCCGCGUGUAUGAAGAAGGCCUUCGGGUUGUAAAGUACUUUCAGCGAGGAGGAAGGCAUUGUGGUUAAUAACCGCAGUGAUUGACGUUACUCGCAGAAGAAGCACCGGCUAACUCCGUGCCAGCAGCCGCCGUAA
rnacentral:rRNA from 1 species